rnacentral:lncRNA from 1 species
AAGAUAACAAUUCUGGAACGGAUGGCCAUGAUAAUGUCCAUACAGUUAAAACAAACACACCUACUACUAGAGAAGGAACAACAAGUAACCCAACACUUGCGGCGUCAAUUGGUUGUUGCUGAAAACAAAACAUGCGAAAUGAAACGCCUCCAAGAAAAACAUGAGAAAGAAUUAGCUAAGGAUAGAGGAUGUGCUCCAUUCCUACCUCCCACCUGAACCACUGAGAGCACAAUACUCCCACAGAAGCUCCUCACCAGUGGUUGCAAACGCAUUGCCUUUUUCCCCUCUAGGUCAAAACACAUCACAAAGACCUUCUAUUAGAGAUUUGGAUAAAAUAGCACGUAACAUCACACGCUUUGAUCCUAGUCCUGGUGGUUCUCAUGAUACCACCGGCUACUUAAAGGACAUCAGCUUUUACCUGCAAAGGUAUCCACAGUCUACAACCUAUGAUAAGUUAUAUCUUAUCAAAUUAACCUCGAGUCGUGAUGUUAGCAAUUUCAUUGAACGACAACCCAGCAUAAUCAGAGAUGACUAUGUGUCAGACUCGAAGCAGGCGGCGGACCCACAUGCACAGCACAGAGGCCGGAUAAUGAUUAAGCACAGGUUUAUUUUCCAAGGCAGAGUCAGACGGUCCAGGUCAUACACAAAAGGGCUUGGCAAAAGUACAGACAGGGAUAAGGCAAAAACUCACGGUCAGUUAGUUAGUUAGUCCAGGUUCUCUUACAGGUGGCGGUACAAGCGAGGAUCAGGCAGGAUACACGGUGCAAAGCAAAACAGGAACAAACACGAGGAGCACGGACACGAAACACGGGAACGAGGAAACUCAGGAAACUCGAGAUACUCAGGAAACACAUGCAACUAGGAAACUAAUGAAACUCGGAGACACAAGAAACUCGAAACUCAUGAAACUCAUGAAACUCGAAACUCAACAAUCUGGCAAGGGACUAUGGGAACAGGAGCUGACUAAAUACACAGGUGAGUGAUUAACUGAUUACAGACAGGUGUGGGUAAGGAGCUAGGGAGUGAACAACAGAACUGAUAACAGGAAGUCAACAAAAUAAAACAGGACAUGGCGUGAGGACA